ensembl:lncRNA
CUGGCCUUUCCUCUUCUCAGUCCCUCCUUCCUCUCCUGCACUUCAGCUCUGAAGUACAGUUAGCAACAUACAUACAGAAAGAGAGACAGCACUUCCUUUGAUCUGUCUUUCAAUUGAUGAAAUCUUUUCAAAGAAUCAUAGAAUCACAGACUAUCCUGAGAUGCAAAGGACCCACAAGAAGGGUACUGAGUAUCGUGUAUCACGCAUGCUGCAACAUCUGACCCACAGAUCACAUCUAACAUCAGGAGUCCUCAAAAUAAGGACUGCUGGAGGGGAAGCUAAGGAAGAAAACCAGAAGCCUAAAGCCGACCAUGGGAAUGAUCAGAAUUCAUCUUGCAGAAGAGUCUAAGAAUUACGGACAUCACUUUCAUGUUAUCUCUUGACUGCCCCCUGAGACAAGCCCCUGUGAUCAUGUGCAUGAGCUUCAAAGGUAUUG